GACUACAAAUUGCCAAAAAAUGCUAUGGGCUACCGCUUGCAAUUGUUGUAGUCUCAGGUCUUCUGUUAAAGAAAGAAAAAACACGUGACUGGUGGAAGAAAAUUGCUAAUGAUGUUAGUUCAUAUGUUGCUAGGGAUCCAAAGCAAUGCAUGGAUGUUCUAGCACUGAGUUAUAAGCAUUUACCUGAUCACUUGAAAGUGUGCUUCAUCUAUUUCGGAGUCUUCCCUGAAGACUUUGAAAUUCCUGUGUGGAAAUUACUCAGAUUGUG
rnacentral:misc_RNA from 1 species